GACGAACGCUGGCGGCGUGCUUAACACAUGCAAGUCGAACGGAAAGGCCCUGCUUUUGUGGGGUGCUCGAGUGGCGAACGGGUGAGUAACACGUGAGUAACCUGCCCUUGACUUUGGGAUAACUUCAGGAAACUGGGGCUAAUACCGGAUAGGAGCUCCUGCUGCGUGGUGGGGGUUGGAAAGUUUCGGCGGUUGGGGAUGGACUCGCGGCUUAUCAGCUUGUUGGUGGGGUAGUGGCUUACCAAGGCUUUGACGGGUAGCCGGCCUGAGAGGGUGACCGGCCACAUUGGGACUGAGAUACGGCCCAGACUCCUACGGGAGGCAGCAGUGGGGAAUAUUGCACAAUGGGCGGAAGCCUGAUGCAGCAACGCCGCGUGCGGGAUGGCGGCCUUCGGGUUGUAAACCGCUUUCGCCUGUGACGAAGCGUGAGUGACGGUAAUGGGUAAAGAAGCACCGGCUAACUACGUG
rnacentral:rRNA from 1 species